CCAUGUACGUCGUAGCAGGACUCACCACCUCGUUGCUGAAAACCACUGCGACAGAGAAUUGCGUUAAUAAUUAAGUCAGUUUCUGGGAAGGAAGGAAGGAAGCGACCGAAAGAGUUUGCACCAUACCGGGACUUGCCGGGCGGACGGGCCCUUUGAACUCUCUCGAUGUGAAUUUGGUUUAUUCCGAAAUCGGGUUUUCCUGCAGGAUAUGUCACCGUUUCCUGCAGCCUAUGAUUUUCUAUUCUCACGUACUUUCCACGAGUACAUUUUAGCGAAUAACAGUGGUGAAAUAAGGGAAUAGUAGUGACCAACUUACUGCUUGUGUCCAAUGUCAUAUGUAGCACCGAGUUCUUCGC